rnacentral:rRNA from 1 species
GAUGAACGCUGGCGGCGUGCCUAAUACAUGCGAGUCGAGCGAACGGACGAGAAGCUUGCUUCUCUGAUGUUAGCGGCGGACGGGUGAGUAACACGUGGAUAACCUACCUAUAAGACUGGGAUAACUUCGGGAAACCGUAGCUAAUACCGGAUAAUAUUUUGAACCGCAUGGUUCAAAAGUGAAAGACGGUCUUGCUGUCACUUAUAGAUGGAUCCGCGCUGCAUUAGCUAGUUGGUAAGGUAACGGCUUACCAAGGCAACGAUGCAUAGCCGACCUGAGAGGGUGAUCGGCCACACUGGAACUGAGACACGGUCCAGACUCCUACGGGAGGCAGCAGUAGGGAAUCUUCCGCAAUGGGCGAAGGCCUGACGGAGCAACGCCGCGUGAGUGAUGAAGGUCUUCGGAUCGUAAAACUCUGUUAUUAGGGAAGAACAUAUGUGUAAGUAACUGUGCACAUCUUGACGGUACCUAAUCAGAAAGCCACGGCUAACUACGUG